UGGGCGCUGCUGCGUCGGGGAGCCCGCUUUGCUCAACGACGGCAGCACAGCGACGACCAAAGCGGUCCCCAAGCCCUGCUCCCGGGGCUCCGGGUGCACGGCAGCACGUGCGUCCCUGUCGUCAGCCCUCUGCAGGUCGAACCUUAUUGCAUCCUCUGGGAAGUCCUGUGCGUUUCAGACGGCAUGCGUGUGAGAGAGCGUGAGUUUGCCUCCCGCAAGUCCUCGCCGUGAGCUCCUGCCCCGCCUGGGCGGAGAGGGCAGAGUCUGGGAGCCCCUAGGCCUGCAGGACCCAGGUCGACUUGGAGACGCUGCCCACCUGCUAUUGGGAGGAUCCUCUUCUCUGCGGAAGGACACCCGUGGGCGUGCAAGAGACAGCACCCUCCUCGGCUCUGCAAAGUCAGCGGGAGCCCCGAGUCCUCCCGAGGCGGGUCAUUCUGCCCCUGGACCCUGUAACCAUGCUCCUAAACUACUCAGAAUCCUUGGCAGGGCCAUGCCAGUCCCCCUUGAGAGCAGCUGAGAGCACUUCCUGGAAGACAGAUUGGACAGAGCAUCUGCGGCUUCAGCACGACACACUGUUAUUGAUGUGACAAUCCCGGAGGGGCGGCCGCGGAGAAGCACAUCGGACGUACUCCAAAUUCAUAAACAAAAGUGCUCUGAUGUGAUGCUUCCUACGUGUAGCUGCCGUUCUUAGCUCCAGGCCCCCCAGGCCCCUGCCAUGGGAGCUGGUGACAGGUGGCUCAUUGUCACCCUUGCGUUUCCCUGUGUUGGAAGUGCACCCUGGCCCCUGGGAAGAUGGGCCCUGUGGGGACCCAGGGUUCAUUGUCUGGGCCAAAGGAAAUGCUGCAAGGGCUGCCGGACCCCUGGCCUGCCUGCUGUACAAUCCCGGCCUUGCCGCCACUGUGUCCCCACACCCCAACUCAGCCUGCACACUCCAGACCUCAUGGGGCCUGCGCCCUGCCACCUCCCUCAGCUGUUGGCUCUGGGUGGGUUCAGACAACGGAGAGGCAGGUGGAAGAUGGGAUAGUCGGCGGAAGGGAGAAGCCAGGGUGCGUUUCCCUGUCUGACCCGAGAGGCAUCCUGGCAGACAGAGGUCUCCUCCAGAGUCUGGUAAACGGUCCCCCUUUUGUUCCAUCUGCUUCCAGAAUGGUGGUGGCUUCCAGCUACUGCAAUUUCUAGUGUGCCUCUAGCGGUCACCCACUUGGUUUACCUGCUCUUCCACCCUUAAGACCUCCCUCGUUUUAGAUACGAUCGAGUGUUUUCUGCUGUUCCGGCUGGAACCUGGUUCCAGUCCCCAUCCUAGGUCAGGGAUCCAUUAUCUUUUUUGUGCCAUGGAUCACUUUGGCUCUUUGCUGGAGCCUGAGGACUGCUUCUUGGGAGAAAGUUUUUCAGGGACGCCUGGGUGGCUCAGUAGUUGAGCG